rnacentral:rRNA from 1 species
AUGAUGGAGAGUUUGAUCCUGGCUCAGGGUAAACGCUGGCGGCGUGCCUAAAACAUGCAAGUCGCACGGACUCUUUCGGGGGUCAGUGGCAGACGGCUGAGUAACGCGUGGGUGACGUACCUGUAGGUGGGGAAUAACUGCC